UUAGUUGAACAACCAUUAGUAAUGCUAAGGAUGACCACCGUGUUAAAGUGAUGACAAUCUGCUUCUCAUUGGACAAUUGUGCUAGAAGCAUUAUCUCAUCAACCAUUAACCUAAUCAUUUCCAGAACUAAUAAUUUCAUUAGAGUUGCAGAAUGACCAAUGUCUAAUUCUGUUACUCCUACAUUAUAAUUGACAUUCUUCUGUAAAGAAGAGCCUUCCUUCAUCAACUGAAGCUAUUUGGGUAUUCUCAAAGGCAAAUUUUACAAAUUUUACAGGAAAGGAAAGAGAAAUGCUUAAUUUAUUUGUAUUUAGUUACCAGUUUUCUUUUUUUUUUUUUUUUUUUCCAAUUUGAGAGCAGGUACUGUUUAUUAACCAACCAGCUUAGAGAAAUAGUCAUGGUAGACACCUUAGUUCAUUCUUCUAAUAAGCCUGUUGAUCUGGUCCUCCCUGUUGCCAGCAUCUCCACCUUCUACAAAAUGGGUGG
rnacentral:lncRNA from 1 species